GUCUGCUCUCAAGUAAAACAGCUCAGCCACUUUUCUGUGGAGGAAAAGCAGAAUGAAAUAGUUUUGCUUUAUCUGUCAAUUUGCGUUUAUUUACAAAUUGAAAUGGAAUAAAAUAAAGAUGUUCACAGCCUGAUAAAUGAGGAUGCGUGCACAUGUUUGCAGAUUGAAACCCUCUGAUGCUCUCUUUUUGUGGGGAGGGAAUUCAGAAGUACAGGCGUAUGUACAACAGAAUGAGCGCUAAGUUUCUGCCCACUCCACAUUCUUCAUUGUUUUAUCUGCAGACAGAGAUGCUUUUGGUACUGCUUUGAUCAGACAGAUCAUAUCUAAUAAAAUAUUCUCUUUUUUUCUCAGACGCUUGAACCUUGGGAUUCCCUUUUCCUUGAAUCAGGAUCUUCAAAAUGGUUACGCUGUGAUAUGAAGAAGUCUGAUUUCUCAGAUACUAACUCAUAAAUAUUAACAUUCUCAGAGUCUCUCUAGAAUAAUUUAGAAAAAUAAUUAUGUCCAUCCUUAUGAAAUUUCCUAGGUGAUGAGAAUGGAAGUGAUAAAUGGAGACCACAAAAAGAAUUACCUUUUGGAAGUCAAGUUCACCUGUGGUUACUGUACAUGUACUGUGUCGUCUUGUGUCAGCAAAACCAGCUGUUGUCAGGGUACUGCAGGGUGGGGUGCAUGAGCUCACAAAGAAGGCUGUCAGAUAGGAUUUACUGGGAAGUGGGUCUGUGCAAUGAUCUUUAUGAAAUUAGAAAGAACAACCAUCCCAAAGCUCAGCAAAGCCCUGUGUCUGAGCACAGUGUGACUGCCAUCCCUGUGGACAGGCAGCCCCUGUCCAAACAUGUGGGGAAACCUCCAGCUCUUUGCAGUCAGAUGAAUGCGGAGGGCUCUUCAAACAUGAAAUUCCUAAGUGCUUUUGGUUUGCUACUGGAAAGUGACCCCUUGAGACAAAGUUAAUCUUAUUUCAGGAACUGUGCCCACAAAACAGGGAGAUGACUGUUACGUUCCAGCUUUGGGGUAUUUUCACUUUCCUGGGAUAUUCUUCCCAGAUGAGACUGCACUGUAUUGCCUCAGAUCUAUGCCAGAAGGAAUUACAGAUGUUUCAGAGGAAGCGUGCAGAAACCAUGCAGCUGAAACAGAAUAAAUUAUGCUUAAAAUCAAGGAAAUGUCCUAAU
rnacentral:lncRNA from 1 species